GUGGGGAAUCUUCCGCAAUGGACGAAAGUCUGACGGAGCAACGCCGCGUGAGUGAAGAAGGUUUUCGGAUCGUAAAGCUCUUUCGUCAGGGACGAACGUAUUUCUUGUAAAUAAUGAGAGAUAGUGACGGUACCUGAAUAAGAAGCCACGGCUAACUACGUGCCAGCAGCCGCGGUAAUACGUAGGUGGCAAGCGUUGUCCGGAAUUAUUGGGCGUAAAGCGCGCGCAGGCGGGAUAUCAAGUCUGGCUUAAAAGUGCGAGGCUCAACCUCGUGAGGGGACAGAAACUGGUAUUCUUGAGUGUCGGAGAGGAAAGUGGAAGUCCAAGUGUAGCGGUGAAAUGCGUAGAGAUUUGGAAGAACACCAGUGGCGAAGGCAACUUUCUGGACGAUGUCUGACGCUGAGGCGCGAAAGCUAGGGGAGCGAACGGGAUUAGAAACCCUGGUAGUCC
rnacentral:rRNA from 1 species